rnacentral:rRNA from 1 species
UGCCUGGCGGCUGUAGCGCGUGGUCCCACCUGACCCCCAUGCCGAACUCAGAAGUGAAAACGCAGUAGCGCCGAUGGUAGUGUGGGGUCUCCCCAUGCGAGAGUAGGGAACUGCCAGGCAU